rnacentral:rRNA from 1 species
UACGUAGGGGGCAAGCGUUGUCCGGAUUUAUUGGGCGUAAAGCGCUCGCAGGUGGUCCGAUGCGUCGUGCGUGAAAGACCCCGGCUCAACUGGGGGGCGUCGUGCGAUACGGUCGGACUGGAGGCCAGUAGGGGGAUGCGGAAUUCCGGGUGUAGUGGUGGAAUGCGUAGAGAUCCGGAGGAACACCAGCGGCGAAGGCGGCAUCCUGGACUGGUCCUGACACUCAUGAGCGAAAGCGUGGGGAGCGAGUCCGG